rnacentral:tRNA from 1 species
UCCCUGGUGGCUCAGACGGUAAAGCAUCUGCCUGCAGUGCGGGAGACCCAGGUUCGAUCCCUGGGUUGGGAA